AUACGGAGGGUGCGAGCGUUAAUCGGAAUUACUGGGCGUAAAGGGUGCGUAGGCGGCUUGAUAAGUCGGAUGUGAAAGCCCCGGGCUUAACCUGGGAAUUGCAUUCGAUACUGUCAGGCUAGGGUAUGUCAGAGGUUGGCGGAAUUCCUGGUGUAGCGGUGAAAUGCGUAGAUAUCAGGAGGAACACCAGUGGCGAAGGCGGCUAACUGGGACAAUACUGACGCUGAGGCACGAAAGCGUGGGGAGCAAACAGGAUUAGAAACCCUAGUAGUCC
rnacentral:rRNA from 1 species